GAUGAACGCUGGCGGCGUGCCUAAUACAUGCAAGUCGAGCGAAUGGAUUAAGAGCUUGCUCUUAUGAAGUUAGCGGCGGACGGGUGAGUAACACGUGGGUAACCUGCCCAUAAGACUGGGAUAACUCCGGGAAACCGGGGCUAAUACCGGAUAACAUUUUGAACCGCAUGGUUCGAAAUUGAAAGGCGGCUUCGGCUGUCACUUAUUGAUGGACCCGCGUCGCAUUAGCUAGUUGGUGCGGUAACGGCUCACCAAGGCAACGAUGCGUAGCCGACCUGAGAGGGUGAUCGGCCACACUGGGACUGAGACACGGCCCAGACUCCUACGGGAGGCAGCAGUAGGGAAUCUUCCGCAAUGGACGAAAGUCUGACGGAGCAACGCCGCGUGAGUGAUGAAGGCUUUCGGGUCGUAAAACUCUGUUGUUAGGGAAGAACAAGUGCUAGUUGAAUAAGCUGGCACCUUGACGGUACCUAACCAGAAAGCCACGGCUAACUACGUGCCAGCAGCCGCCGUAA
rnacentral:rRNA from 1 species